UGAAUACGAAAUGCUACGGCAUUGAAGUGAUCUAUGCCAGGCUUCCAAGAAAAUCUCGUCAUAUCUUAAGCAGUAGAUGCCUGUACCUUAAACCGACACAGGUAGGUAGGUAGAGUAUACCAAGGGGCGCGAGAUAACUCUCUCUAAGGAACUCGGCAAAAUAACCUCGUAACUUCGGAAGAAGAGGUACCCUUGAAAAAGGGUUGCAAUAACCAGACCCUGGCGACUGUUUACCAAAAACACAGGUCUCCGCUAAUUCGUAAGAUCAAGUAUGGAGGCUGACGCCUGCCCAGUGCCGGAAGGUUAAAGAAGUUGGUCAAUCUUUGGAUGAAGCUGGCGACUGAAGCCCCGGUGAACGGCGGCCGUAACUAUAACGGUCCUAAGGUAGCGAAGUUCCUUGUCGGGUAAGUUCCGACCCGCACGAAAGGCGUAACGAUCAGGGUGCUGUCUCGGAGAGAGACUCGGCGAAAUAGACAUGUCUGUGAAGAUGUGGACUACCUGCACCUGGACAGAAAGACCCUAUGAAGCUUUACUGUAUCUUGGAAUUGGGUUUGGGCCUUGCUUGCGCAGGAUAGGUGGGAGGCUGUGAAGAUAUUCUUGCGGGAAUGUUGGAGCCAACGGUGAGAUACCACUCUAGUAAGGCUAAAAUUCUAACUCUGAACCGUUAUCCGGUCAGAGAACAGUUUCAGGUGGGCAGUUUGACUGGGGCGGUCGCCUCCUAAAAGGUAACGGAGGCGCGCAAAGGUUCCCUCAGGCUGGUUGGACAUCAGUCGUAGAGUGUAAAGGCAUAAGGGAGCUUGACUGCGAGACCCACAAGUCGAGCAGAGACGAAAGUCGGCCUUAGUGAUCCGACGGUUCCACGUGGAAGGGCCGUCGCUCAACGAAUAAAAGUUACUCUAAGGAUAACAGGCUGAUCUCCCCCAAGAGUUCACAUCGACGGGGAGGUUUGGCACCUCGAUGUCGGCUCAUCGCAUCCUGGGGCGGUAGUACGUCCCAAGGGUUGGGCUGUUCGCCCAUGAAAGCGGUACGCGAGCUGGGUUCAGAACGUCGUGAGACAGCUCGGUCCAUAUCCGGUGCAGGCGUUAGAGCAUUGAGAGGAGUCCCCCUUAGUACGAGAGGACCGGGGGGAAUACACCGCUGGUGUACCAGUUAUCGUGCCAACGGUAAACGCUGGGUAGCCAUGUGUAGCGCGGAUAACUGCUGAAAGCAUCUAAGUAGGAAGCCCACCUUAAGAUGAGUGCUCUCACCGCUAUAAGCGGGUAAGGUCACGGUAAGAACAACCGUUAUAUAGGCAUUAAGUAUACGUGCAGUAAUGCAUUUAGCUGAGAUGUACUAACAGACCGAGGGCUUGAC
rnacentral:rRNA from 1 species